CCUACGGGUGGCAGCAGUGAGGAAUAUUGGUCAAUGGCCGGAAGGCUGAACCAGCCAAGCCGCGUGAAGGACGAAGGUGCCAAGCAUUGUAAACUUCUUUUGUCAAGGGAUAAAAUCAGGCUCGAGUGCCUGACCGAGGGUACUUUAAGAAAAAGCAUCGGCUAACUACGUGCCAGCAGCCGCGGUAAUACGGAGGAGGCAAGCGUUAUCCGGAUUUACUGGGUGUAAAGGGAGCGCAGACUGUUGUGCAAGUCUGGAGUGAAAGGCGGGGGCCCAACCCCAGGACUGCUCUGGAAACUGGAAGGCUGGAGUGCAGGAGAGGUAGGCGGAAUUCGUGGUGUAGCGGUGAAAUGCAUAGAUAUUAGGAAGAACACCAGUGGCGAAGGCAGCUUACUGAACUGCAACUGACGUUGAGGCUCGAAAGCGUGGGGAGCAAACAGGAUUAGAUACCCGGGUAGUC
rnacentral:rRNA from 1 species